rnacentral:rRNA from 1 species
AGCAGCCGCGGUAAUUCCAGCUCCAAUAGCGUAUAUUAAAGUUGUUGCAGUUAAAAAGCUCGUAGUUGAAUUUCGGGAUUGACACAUCGGUCGUGCCUUAAGGGGUAUGAACUGGUGUAGUCAAUUUCUCACCUUCUGGAGAACCGCGAUGCCCUUAAUUGGGUGUCACGGGGAACCAGGACCUUUACUUUGAAAAAAUUAGAGUGUUUAAAGCAGGCAUUUUGCUUGAAUACAUUAGCAUGGAAUAAUAAAAUAGGACGGCAUGAUUCUAUUUUGUUGGUUUCUAGGAUCACCGUAAUGAUUAAUAGGGAUAGUUGGGG